rnacentral:lncRNA from 1 species
AAAACAUUGGCUUAAUUGACUCAAUUUCACACAGGCAUUUCCUGGGAAAGGAGCACUGUAACCUUUAAGGAAGAAUAUUUAUAUAGCCAAGAUAUUUUGUAGCCUACUAUUCUCAGUAUCCGUUAAAAAUGGUUAGCAGAUUCUUCUGUCAAGGACAUGCUAUGCUGCCAGGCUGCAACAAGAAUGCAGCAGAGACAAAGACAAGGAGAUUAAAGAGGUCAGGGGUAUUAGUCAUACAGCCCACUCUUUUUUUUAAGAGUGUAUUCUGUGGGACUAGUAGUCAAAUGAAUCAGCAGUAAGAUGAUGACAUGCAUGAUGACUGGAAACAUGCAUAAGAUAGUUUCACUGACAGAGGCAAAGAUGCUUGAUUUGGGAAGGACUGCCAUAAAUAGUGUAUUAGGCAUAGAAACCCUCUCCAAGUUUUUACAAGCCAGUGGAGGUGCUGGGACUAGGAGACCAAACCUUCUUCACAGCUUCCAUAAAAAUCCUCCCCUAAGGAACCCCAAGAAGUGUGUGAAAGUGAGUGAGCUUCUCUUUUUAGUCAUCAGGCUUCUACUGUGAUUCGAACGAUCAGGGUUGAUGGAAUAAAUUAAUCCAAGUAUGUAGAGAUGUUGAAAAU